GGGGGGCAGCUUGCCCCGCCUGUUACGCCGCUGUUCCUGCGGUGCCAAUCCUGGCUGGCCUCGCCGCUGGUGUCCUAGGGCAGACAGGCCUUUCGUACGAGAACAUUGCCUACUCCUCUGUGGACUAUGCAAUCCACCCAACCCUCGUCAGAUCUGUGAGAACAACCUUGAAUAGGACACUCUGUGUCAGGAAGUCAGCCUGAACGUGUAUAAUUCCAGACCAGCUUGUUGUCCCAGAAAACCAGGCUCAGACGUCAGAGAUUUUAUGAACUUGAUAAUGGAUCACAUCGCUUUCAUUUUCGGUUUGACCUGCUAUUGGGAAAUUGAUGAUAUAUUGAGCAAUUGUUCUAAGCUUGUCUUUGAGGGCAAUUAUAUGUUAACUUCUAUUUUCAAAUAUGUCUUUAAUAUUAUCAAAUAAUCACAAUAAAAGAGUGAACAUAGAAUCAUUUUAUGCGAUGGUGCUACGGGUUAUUUGCGCAUGAUGGUGCUGACUAUAUUAAUUAUUUACAUUACUUAUGUUGUAAAUUUACGAUUUCCAUCAAUUUGUGAUUCGUCUUGAAAGAUUAGCAGGGGUAGAUGGGUUCUCAUAAACCGCAUGUAAAACGAAGGUUUUUUAAAGAAAAAUGUGCUAUUUUUCAUUAAUAUUGAUAUCUAGUUCUUUCCCGAGGUGAAACACAGCCUUCGUUAGAUACAAGGCCGUGUUUAAGUUUUUAUGAUUUACGUUUAGUUAACUAUUACUGAAUGAAUUAAAAAAAAAGUUUGAAAAAAUGUUAUUGGCUAUACCCGAUUCUAUAUUCACCAAUUUACAUGUAUUGGGCCUAUCGAUCCAAUGCUUUCAUAUACCUUUGCUAUAUAUUUUUUUCACUUUGAAAUGAGUGUUUUAAGAAAUAUAGUCCUGAAUAACAUGUUUAACUGGAUUCACUUAAUUGAAUCCCUGCGACUGAAGCUAAAGCUUCUGAACUAUAAUUUGGGACACCUACCUGCUAAAGAGCUAGAACAUGAAUAUCUGCAGACUGGUGAUUGGUAUAAGUCAUGAAUAUACAAAAAGAGUAAAGGGCCUAGCGGAGACCCAUGAGGUACCCAAGCAUAGUUUACAAGCAAUCACUUCAUAAAUUGACUAAAUAUUUAGUGCAACGUAUAAUACCGCAAUGCCUAGAAUCUUCAUUGGUAGUGUGUACAUGUACACACACACACACACCCUCACACAAAUAUUAAAAUGGUAAUUAGUCUGCAUUGCAAAUCAUCAAAUAAACCCAUAAGACUGUUAUGCUACAUCCAGCAUUAGGUUGGUAAGAAAUAGUGUCAUCAUGUUAUUAUUAAUUCAUAAUCCGGUAUGUGUAUUUUAAUAUGGGUUGUUGUACAAAAGAGGACAACUUGUCACCCCGCAUCCAAAUAUGUUAAUAGCGAGUUUUCGAAAUCGCGACGGGGACAGAUUAUACCACAUGGUAAAUCUUUUGAAAAUGCCCGUCAAAUCAUAAUGAACAGCUUAGAAGUCUUUGUCGAAAAUUGGUGAACCUGGAGAGCUGAUCAUCUUGAGAUUCGGAGCUGACGAAAAAUUGCAAAUAUGUCGUUAGACCAGACUCCAGGAAAACACUGCUGUUUCGAUUCACCGAUUUUCGACAAAGUCUGCUUUGUCAUGAAGGCCUUUGGGCAAAAUAUUAUCUACGUUCCAGAAUGUGUCUACGUAGCUGUUUGCGAAAACUCCCCAAUAUCAGUAUUGUAGUCGCAAUAUAUCUCCCCAUUCAGAAAUUCCUUUUUAAGCAAAGAUUUCUUAAAAAUCAUAGGAUCAAAUGCAGAGAGUUGCAAUUAAUCAACCAAGUACUACAUGAUUUUCAGCAACUGUGCAUUUGGGACUUAUAUGAUAUCUGAGAGUUAAAGAUUUCAUUAAAAUAUAUGGUCUACUUUAUAUUCAAUAUUCCUCGUUUUAAUAUAUAACCAAAAAUUUCCUCGGUUCAAAUGUUGAAGGUUAGGCUUAUGUAAUAUUCCUUUUUACUACUAUUGAUUUAUGUUGCAAUAAAUGAUCAUGGUAUAUUGGAUUUUUUUU